rnacentral:rRNA from 1 species
AUGGGAAGAAAAGGGACAUUUCAGAUGCCGGUGCAAGAGCUUGCUGGCGCCCUCAGCACGCCGGACGUGCCAGCUCAGUACAUCGCGCGCGCGCACGAGGACCAACAGCUCGCGGCGGUGGUCGUAGCACCAGUCCUUGUCAUCGACCUCGUCCGCCUUUCGAAGCACGGUGACGACACCUCCGACGAGGCGGCGAAGCUCUGGUCAGCCAUCGAGUCCUGGGGCCUCUUUAUGGUCAGUAACCACGGUGUAGACGCGGUAAUGGACAACAUGAUGGCCGCGUCAAGGGAGUUUUUCGGGCAGCCGCUCAAAGAGAAGCAGAGAUACACCAACCUGAACGGCGGCGAGCGGUUCCAGUUCGAGGGGUAUGGGAACGACCGGGUGAACUCGCCGGACCAAAUCCGUGACUGGACUGACCGCCUCUACCUCAAGGUGGAGCCAGAGGAUGAGCGGAGCAUCGCCCUCUGGCCAGCACGUCCCGAAACCUUUAGGAAUGCUCUGCACGAGUAUACGAAGAAAUGCGGGGAAGUGAAGAACGAUGUGCUCAGGGCAAUGGCGAAGCUGCUGGAACUUGACGAUGAUGAUUACUUUGUGGAACACUUUGGGGAGAAGCCUCUCACUGACGUGAGAUGCAGCUACUACCCGGUGUGCCCGAGGCCGGAGCUCGUGUUUGGCCUCAAGCCCCACUCCGAUGCAACUGUUGUUACAGUCCUUAUGGUCCAUGACAGGGUUGGUGGCCUACAAGUUCUCAAAGAUGGGGUUUGGUGGGAUGUACCGAUCGUACCUCACACGCUACUCAUGAUUAUAGGAGAUCAAACUGAGAUAAUGAGCAAUGGGAUCUUUAAGAGCCCUGUUCACAGGGUCGUGACAAACACAAAGAAAGAGAGGCUAUCGGUGGCACUAGACUACUAUGUUGAUCCUGAGAGAGAAAUCGAGCCAUCGGCUCAGUUGGUCAAUGAGAAGAGGCCGGCGUUGUACUCUAAAGUGAAGGUUAAAGACUACUUUGCCCGAAGUUACAAUGCUUUUACUCAAGGGAAAAUGGUUAUCGAUACAGUGAAGAUCUAA